UCCCAGACUCCUACGGGAGGCAGCAGUGGGGAAUAUUGCACAAUGGGGGGAACCCUGAUGCAGCGACGCCGCGUGGGUGAAGGAGUACUUCGGUACGUAAAGCCCUAUCAGCAGGAAAGAAAAUGACGGUACCUGACUAAGAAGCCCCGGCUAACUUCGUGCCAGCAGCCGCGGUAAUACGAAGGGGGCAAGCGUUGUUCGGAAUUACUGGGCGUAAAGGGAGUGUAGGCGGUUUAGUAAGAUAGUGGUGAAAUCCCAGAGCUUAACUUUGGAAUUGCCAUUAUAACUAUUAGACUAGAAUUACAGAGAGGAUAGUGGAAUACCCAGUGUAGAGGUGAAAUUCGUAGAUAUUGGGUAGAACACCAGUGGCGAAGGCGACUAUCUGGCUGUACAUUGACGCUGAGGCUCGAAAGCAUGGGGAUCAAACAGGAUUAGAUACCCCAGUA
rnacentral:rRNA from 1 species